AGUGAACGCUGGCGGCGUGCUUAACACAUGCAAGUCGAACGAGAACGGAUUAUAGCUUGCUAUAAUUGUCAGCUAAGUGGCGCACGGGUGAGUAAUGUAUAGGUAAUAUGCCUCUUACUAAGGGAUAACAGAUGGAAACGUUUGCUAAUACCUUAUACUCCUUAUUAACAGAAGUUAAUAAGGGAAAGAUUUAUUGGUAAGAGAUUAGCCUGUAUUGUAUCAGUUAGUUGGUGGGGUAAUGGCUUACCAAGACUAUGACACAUAACUGGUUUGAGAGGAUGAUCAGUCACACUGGAACUGAGACACGGUCCCGACUCCUACGGGAGGCAGCAGUGGGGAAUAUUGCACAAUGGACGAAAGUCUGAUGCAGCAACGCCGCGUGGAGGAUGACACAUUUCGGUGCGUAAACUCCUUUUAUAUGAGAAGAUAAUGACGGUAUUAUAUGAAUAAGCACCGGCUAACUCCGUGCCAGCAGCCGCCGUAA
rnacentral:rRNA from 1 species